AUGUUGGUCUCUUUCAUUGGACGUUUAGUGGUAGCAGUAGCUACCACUUGCGGGAGCGGCUGCUUCCCCUUCCCUCACGUGCUCUUCGCCCGCGGCCUGCGCACACGCCCAUCUUGGGCCCGCGCCCCGGGCCUGCCUGGGGGCGCCCGGCGGCUUCGAAUUCACCCACGUGUGCGGCGAGGGCGCCGUCGAGGAUUAUCUGGUAAUCGUGAGUUGUUUUGUUUUCCAGCAACGAAGGUUUUGGGAACAGUAAAAUGGUUCAAUGUAAGAAACGGAUAUGGUUUCAUCAACAGGAAUGACACCAAGGAAGAUGUGUUUGGACACCAGACUGCAAUAAAGAAGAAGAACCCCAGGAAGGACCUUCGCAGUGUAGGAGAUGGAGAGACAGUGGAGUUUGAUGUUGUUGAAGGAGAAAAGGGUGCGGGGGCAGCACAUGUUACAGGCCCUGGUGCAGUUCCGGUUCAAGGCAGGAAAUACGCAGCAGACCGUAACCAUUAUAGACGCUGUCCACGUCGUAGGGGUUCUCCACGCAAUUACCAGCAGAAUUACCAGAACAGUGAGAGUGGGGACAAGAAUGAGGGAUCGAGAGCGCUCCCGGAGGCCAGGCCCAACAACGCCGGCCCUACCGCAGGCGAAGGUUCCCACCUUGCUACAUGCGGAGACCCUAUGGGCGUCGGCCACAGUAUUCCAACCCACCUGUGCGGGGAGAAGUCAUGGAGGGUGCUGACAACCAGGGUGCAGGAGAACCAGGUAGACCAGUGAGACAGAAUAUGUAUCGAGGUUAUAGACCACGAUUCCGCAGGGGACCUCCUCGCCAAAGACAGCCUAGAGAGGACGGCAAUGAAGGGGAUAAGGAAAAUCAAGGAGAUGAGACCCAAGGUCAGCAGCCACCUCAACGUCGGUACCGCCGCAACUUCAAUUACCGACGCAGACGCCCAGAAAACCCUAAACCACAAGAUGGCAAAGAGACAAAAGCAGCCGAUCCACCAGCUGAGAAUUCGUCCGCUCCUGAGGCUGAGCAGGGCUGGGCUGAGUAAAUGCCGGCUUAACAUCUCUACCAUCAUCCGGUUUAGUCAUCCAACAAGAAGAAAUGAAUAUGAAAUUCCAGCAA